rnacentral:rRNA from 1 species
UACGAAGGGGGCUAGCGUUGCUCGGAAUCACUGGGCGUAAAGCGCACGUAGGCGGCUUGCUAAGUCAGGGGUGAAAUCCUGGAGCUCAACUCCAGAACUGCCUUUGAUACUGGCGACCUUGAGUCCGGGAGAGGUGAGUGGAACUGCGAGUGUAGAGGUGAAAUUCGUAGAUAUUCGCAAGAACACCAGUGGCGAAGGCGGCGCACUGGCCCGGUACUGACGCUGAGGUGCGAAAGCGUGGGGAGCAAACAGG